CUUGCAGCUACAGAUUUGGUGAACUUGCCUGAUAGAAGAAGAUUUUUAAAAUUAUUUUGGAAAAUUAUUAGCUGAAUGGCCUCAGGUGGAACUUCAAACAGGCUCUCAAUUUCUUUGGUAACUUCAAACACAUCACCAGACCCUGAAAACGCAGUGGGAAAAAUGGCACACAAAAUUAGGAGUCAAACUGAAUUUGAUUGGAGCUUUAUUUCCACCACGAAUCAGCUGUUUGGCCCACGGUGAUGGCAACAGAGACAGUGUUUCAGACUCUCUCAGGCUUGGCUGCAACUUCCAUUUGACUACCAGUUUUCCAUCCAAUGCUCAUUACAAGGCGAUUUUCCCUCACAGUGGUAAUCUCAGGGGUAAAGUUGCUCCACAGUAAUAUCCAUUCUCUAUUGCCUGCGAGCUGAGGGAGAAUGACAAUCACUUUCUCCGUCCCUGCCUUUGCCAAAACAUAUCACAGCACCACAUCUGCUCUAUGCAGCCAACUGACAGCAGCAGAAAAACAAACUGGAAUCAAGGCACAUGCCUUCUCCUGCUCUUUGCUUCUACCUCAAGUGCUUCAGUGGUUAUACCUUUCCCUCCUGAUUCAGCCCAAAGCUGGGUGAUUGAAGAUCUUUGUGUAAUGAUCUAUCUCAAUGGGAAAGCUGAAGGAAAAAAAGAAAAAUGAGAAUAAAGUAAAGUGGAGAGAAGGUUAUCCAUUCAUUCAUGCUAUUAUGCAUGCACUCAUCCUGUUGUUCAUGCUAUAUUCUAUAUAAUUCUGUCA
rnacentral:lncRNA from 1 species